UGAGUUGGAACUUUGAAAAAAGCCUUGGAGUAAUUUGAACCAGUUGCACUGUAAAUCGUAAAAGCAAAGCGCCAACCCGUGCACAUCAACAUGGCUUUCUCUUCAUAGUAAUUCGUGCACCUGUGCGAAACCCCUUCUUAAACCCACAGAAACAUGAGAAAAUAUUGGGACAUGAGAUGAGAGAGUGUAGUGUUAGGGACUGGCUAUAAAAGAAGAAGACAAAGAACAGAGCUUUCUCCUCUGAUGGUGUGUGUUAUAUAAAAGGGGUUGUGACAGAAAAUCCUUUUGAAUGCAAUUUUUUCUUUACUCUUUGUCUUUCUCCUUAACUGUGGAAAACCAUUGACACUAAUUAGGGUUCUUACCUACUCAAGUUUAUGGCCAUGGCAUUACUGCUACAUUUUCUCCGUAGCUGGUUUUUUCUUCCCUCAAGGACAAGUAGAUAUGUAGGAUUAAAGCUUGCUUCAAACAUUUUGAGGUGUUCAACGGCUAAACCUGGUUGAAUUUACUGUUCCUUUACUUUCCGUGGAACAUGUGAACCCUGAUCUUGUAAGUACAUUGUUACUUAAGUAGGGAAUGAAGCCAUUGGUCCGCGAAGGUUGUCAAUCUUUGUAUUAUGUUGAAAAUACCCAUGGUAGGAUAUAGAGCAGAAAAUUUAGUUUGCAUAUUAAAGCUACUCUGUUUUAUCUUUUCUGAAUUUUGAUAUUUAAUUCAAUUGAGAAUCAACACUCAA